CAUAUUCCUCACUUCAAGUAUAGGGAUUUUUUUAUAUAGAAAGUUGUGGAUUAUAAAAGAGGGUGUGAAUGGGGUUAAAUGAUUAGAGAAUAAUGCCCAUAAACAAUGAAGGAUUAGAGAAUAACAGGUGAAAAAAAUGAAGAUUAGAAUAAAAGGGGUUAAUUUUUUGAAGAUAAGAGAAAAAAGGGGUUAAUUUUUUGAAGAAUAGAGAAAAAAGGGGUGAAAAUUAAAUGUUUACAGAAUAACAGACCCCCAUCCAGACC
rnacentral:lncRNA from 1 species